UACAGAGGUCUCAAGCGUUGUUCGGAUUCAUUGGGCGUAAAGAGCGUGUAGGCGGCCAUGUAGGUCCGUUGUGAAAACUCGAGGCUCAACCUCGAGACGCCGAUGGAAACCAUGUGGCUAGAGUCCGGAAGAGGAGAGUGGAAUUCCUGGUGUAGCGGUGAAAUGCGCAGAUAUCGGGAAGAACACCCGUGGCUAAGGCGGCUCUCUAGUACGGUACUGACGCUGAGACGCGAAAGCGUGGGGAGCGAACAGG
rnacentral:rRNA from 1 species